rnacentral:rRNA from 1 species
AAUUCGCCCUUUCCCAGUAAGUCCAUAUGCCUUGUCUCAAAGAUUAAGCCAUGCAUGUCUAAGUAUAAGCAAUAUAUACUGUGAAACUGCGAAUGGCUCAUUAAAUCAGUUAUCGUUUAUUUGAUAGUACCUUACUACUUGGAUACCGUGGUAAUUCUAGAGCUAAUACAUGCUAAAAACCUCGACUUUUGAAGGGGUGUAUUUAUUAGAUAAAAAACCAAUGCCCUUCGGGGCUCUUUGGUGAUUCAUGAUAACUUAACGAAUCGCAUGGCCUUGCGCCGGCGAUGGUUCAUUCAAAUUUCUGCCCUAUCAACUUUCGAUGGUAGGAUAGUGGCCUACCAUGGUUUCAACGGGUAACGGGGAAUUAGGGUUCGAUUCCGGAGAGGGAGCCUGAGAAACGGCUACCACAUCCAAGGAAGGCAGCAGGCGCGCAAAUUACCCAAUCCCCGACACGGGGAGGUAGUGACAAUAAAUACCGAUACAGGGCUCUUUUGGGUCUUGUAAUUGGAAUGAGUACAAUUUAAAUCCCUUAACGAGGAACAAUUGGAGGGCAAGUCUGGU